ensembl:lncRNA
GGAGAAACACACCUCAUAUUCCCCAUUCAUAUUCAUUGUGGGCAGUCUCCACCCCACACGUGAGUUUUAAUUUUAAAUUUCUCUAGUGGAACAAUGGAGUCAUUUUUAGCCAGCCAGUUUGGGGCGCCUUUGAAGGGCCCCUGGAAUCUGCAAGGAUCCACAGGAGCCGGCGGGGCUGGGCUGCGUUUGAUUUAAAAUUGGAAACAGGAGGCAGAGGAGAAGCUUUAUAUAGCCUGGGAGGUCCAGGAGCCCAGCGCUGAUUUAUGACCAGCCUGCUGAAAGCCCGUGGAAGCCGAGGUGGGGAGAGUGGCCAGCAGGUUGCCAAGCUGGCUGAUGACCCUCCUGGAAUGAGACAGGACCAUGGAAGACAUUUUUAAACAUUGUGUCAAGAAAGCAAAACCAAGGGAGGCACAAUCCCCCUCGACCUUGAUGCCGGAUUCGCACCUGCUGGCAGAAGGGAGGCCCAUGCAUCACCAACCCCCGUGUGCUGGUUCCCCGAGGCUCAAGGUCAUGAGAGCAACUCCAUCGUGAAUGCAGGGAGACCACGGACACAGACCAGUGUUCCUUCCACCCCACAAUCUGCUCAGAUCUUAGAGCUCUACGUGGAUUUCUAACCACCCUUUGCUGCCAACUCAUCCAUUUUAUUUGAAACAAAAAUUCAAGAU